rnacentral:rRNA from 1 species
AGAGUUUGAUCCUGGCUCAGGACGAACGCUGGCGGCGUGCUUAACACAUGCAAGUCGAACGAGUGCCUUCGGGUGCUAGUGGCGAACGGGUGAGUAACACGUGAGCAACCUGCCCCUGGCUCUGGGAUAGCCUCCGGAAACGGUGAUUAAUACCGGACAUGACUGCUGCCUGCAUGGGCGGCGGUGGAAAGUUUUUCGGC